GGGUUGUGAGGUUAAGCGACUAAGCGUACACGGUGGAUGCCCUGGCAGUCAGAGGCGAUGAAGGACGUGCUAAUCUGCGAUAAGCGCCGGUAAGGUGAUAUGAACCGUUAUAACCGGCGAUUUCCGAAUGGGGAAACCCAGUGUGAUUCGUCACACUAUCAUUAACUGAAUCCAUAGGUUAAUGAGGCGAACCGGGGGAACUGAAACAUCUAAGUACCCCGAGGAAAAGAAAUCAACCGAGAUUCCCCCAGUAGCGGCGAGCGAACGGGGAGGAGCCCAGAGCCUGAAUCAGCAUGUGUGUUAGUGGAAGCGUCUGGAAAGGCGCGCGAUACAGGGUGACAGCCCCGUACACAAAAGCGCAUGUGCUGUGAGCUCGAUGAGUAGGGCGGGACACGUGGUAUCCUGUCUGAAUAUGGGGGGACCAUCCUCCAAGGCUAAAUACUCCUGACUGACCGAUAGUGAACCAGUACCGUGAGGGAAAGGCGAAAAGAACCCCGGCGAGGGGAGUGAAAAAGAACCUGAAACCGUGUACGUACAAGCAGUGGGAGCACAGGUUUACCUGUGUGACUGCGUACCUUUUGUAUAAUGGGUCAGCGACUUAUAUUCUGUAGCAAGGUUAACCGAAUAGGGGAGCCGGAGGGAAACCGAGUCUUAAUUGGGCGUUAAGUUGCAGGGUAUAGACCCGAAACCCGGUGAUCUAGCCAUGGGCAGGUUGAAGGUUGGGUAACACUAACUGGAGGACCGAACCGACUAAUGUUGAAAAAUUAGCGGAUGACCUGUGGCUGGGGGUGAAAGGCCAAUCAAACCGGGAGAUAGCUGGUUCUCCCCGAAAGCUAUUUAGGUAGCGCCUCGUGAAUUCAUCUCCGGGGGUAGAGCACUGUUUCGGCUAGGGGGCCAUCCCGGCUUACCAACCCGAUGCAAACUGCGAAUACCGGAGAAUGUUAUCACGGGAGACACACGGCGGGUGCUAACGUCCGUCGUGAAGAGGGAAACAACCCAGACCGCCAGCUAAGGUCCCAAAGUCAUGGUUAAGUGGGAAACGAUGUGGGAAGGCCCAGACAGCCAGGAUGUUGGCUUAGAAGCAGCCAUCAUUUAAAGAAAGCGUAAUAGCUCACUGGUCGAGUCGGCCUGCGCGGAAGAUGUAACGGGGCUAAACCAUGCACCGAAGCUGCGGCAGCGACGCUGAUGCGUUGUUGGGUAGGGGAGCGUUCUGUAAGCCUGCGAAGGUGACCUGUGAGGGUUGCUGGAGGUAUCAGAAGUGCGAAUGCUGACAUAAGUAACGAUAAAGCGGGUGAAAAGCCCGCUCGCCGGAAGACCAAGGGUUCCUGUCCAACGUUAAUCGGGGCAGGGUGAGUCGACCCCUAAGGCGAGGCCGAAAGGCGUAGUCGAUGGGAAACGGGUUAAUAUUCCCGUACUUGGUGUUACUGCGAAGGGGGGACGGAGAAGGCUAUGUUGGCCGGGCGACGGUUGUCCCGGUUUAAGCGUGUAGGUGUGUGUUCCAGGUAAAUCCGGUUCACUUUAACACUGAGGCGUGAUGACGAGGCACUACGGUGCUGAAGCAACAAAUGCCCUGCUUCCAGGAAAAGCCUCUAAGCAUCAGGUAACAUCAAAUCGUACCCCAAACCGACACAGGUGGUCAGGUAGAGAAUACCAAGGCGCUUGAGAGAACUCGGGUGAAGGAACUAGGCAAAAUGGUGCCGUAACUUCGGGAGAAGGCACGCUGACACGUAGGUGAAGUGAUUUACUCACGGAGCUGAAGUCAGUCGAAGAUACCAGCUGGCUGCAACUGUUUAUUAAAAACACAGCACUGUGCAAACACGAAAGUGGACGUAUACGGUGUGACGCCUGCCCGGUGCCGGAAGGUUAAUUGAUGGGGUCAGCGCAAGCGAAGCUCCUGAUCGAAGCCCCGGUAAACGGCGGCCGUAACUAUAACGGUCCUAAGGUAGCGAAAUUCCUUGUCGGGUAAGUUCCGACCUGCACGAAUGGCGUAAUGAUGGCCAGGCUGUCUCCACCCGAGACUCAGUGAAAUUGAACUCGCUGUGAAGAUGCAGUGUACCCGCGGCAAGACGGAAAGACCCCGUGAACCUUUACUAUAGCUUGACACUGAACAUUGAGCCUUGAUGUGUAGGAUAGGUGGGAGGCUUUGAAGUGUGGACGCCAGUCUGCAUGGAGCCGACCUUGAAAUACCACCCUUUAAUGUUUGAUGUUCUAACGUGGACCCGUAAUCCGGGUUGCGGACAGUGUCUGGUGGGUAGUUUGACUGGGGCGGUCUCCUCCUAAAGAGUAACGGAGGAGCACGAAGGUUGGCUAAUCCUGGUCGGACAUCAGGAGGUUAGUGCAAUGGCAUAAGCCAGCUUGACUGCGAGCGUGACGGCGCGAGCAGGUGCGAAAGCAGGUCAUAGUGAUCCGGUGGUUCUGAAUGGAAGGGCCAUCGCUCAACGGAUAAAAGGUACUCCGGGGAUAACAGGCUGAUACCGCCCAAGAGUUCAUAUCGACGGCGGUGUUUGGCACCUCGAUGUCGGCUCAUCACAUCCUGGGGCUGAAGUAGGUCCCAAGGGUAUGGCUGUUCGCCAUUUAAAGUGGUACGCGAGCUGGGUUUAGAACGUCGUGAGACAGUUCGGUCCCUAUCUGCCGUGGGCGCUGGAGAACUGAGGGGGGCUGCUCCUAGUACGAGAGGACCGGAGUGGACGCAUCACUGGUGUUCGGGUUGUCAUGCCAAUGGCACUGCCCGGUAGCUAAAUGCGGAAGAGAUAAGUGCUGAAAGCAUCUAAGCACGAAACUUGCCCCGAGAUGAGUUCUCCCUGAGACUUAGAGUCUCCUGAAGGAACGUUGAAGACGACGACGUUGAUAGGCCGGGUGUGUAAGCGCAGCGAUGCGUUGAGCUAACCGGUACUAAUGAACCGUGAGGCUUAACCUUACAACGCCGAAG
rnacentral:rRNA from 1 species